rnacentral:rRNA from 1 species
UUCGUAGGUGGCCUGCUAAGUCACACGUGAAAUCCCUCAGCUUAACUGGGGAACUGCGUGUGAGACUGGCGGGCUUGAGUGCAGGAGAGGAACGCGGAAUUCCAGGUGUAGCGGUGAAAUGCGUAGAUAUCUGGAGGAGCACCGGUGGCGAAGGCGGCGUUCUGGACUGCUACUGACACUGAGGAACGAAAGCCAGGGAGCAAACG